CGAUUUAAUGUCUCGUUGGUGACCAGCGGAGGGAUCAUUAUAGAGUUUUCUAAACUCCCAACCCAUGUGAACUUACCAUUGUUGCCUCGGCAGAAGCUGCUCGGUAUACCCUACCUUGGAACGGCCUACCCUGUAGCGCCUUACCCUGGAACGGCUUACCCUGCAACGGCUGCCGGUGGACUACCAAACUCUUGUUAUUUUAUUGUAAUCUGAGCGUCUUAUUUUAAUAAGUCAAAACUUUCAACAACGGAUCUCUUGGUUCUGGCAUCGAUGAAGAACGCAGCGAAAUGCGAUAAGUAAUGUGAAUUGCAGAAUUCAGUGAAUCAUCGAAUCUUUGAACGCACAUUGCGCCCAUUAGUAUUCUAGUGGGCAUGCCUGUUCGAGCGUCAUUUCAACCCUUAAGCCUAGCUUAGUGUUGGGAGCCUACUGCUUUUGCUAGUUGUAGCUCCUGAAAUACAACGGCGGAUCUGCGAUAUCCUCUGAGCGUAGUAAUUUUUAUCUCGCUUUUGACUGGAGUUGCAGCGUCUUUAGCCGCUAAACCCCCCAAUUUUUAAUGGUUGACCUCGGAUCAGGUAGGAAUACCCGCUGAACUUAAGCAUAUCAAUAGGCCGGAGGAA
rnacentral:rRNA from 1 species